AACCAAAUACGAGACUUGUUUGCUGGUGAUGUUGCUGCUGCUGCUGCCACCAUCGUUAGUUGAUGAAACGAAAACAAGACAGCAAAAAUUAGUCUUCCAACAGAAGUGGACGCGUGAGGUUGUUCGGUCGUUCGCUUUAAUUAAUUUACCGUUUUUGAGAAAAAUACGGAAUAUUUUCUAAACUUACCUGUGUGUUCGGGCUAAAAUUGUUUUAGAGAAGAAAUAUAAACAAAAAAAUGGCGGCAACUUUUCUUGUUUGGCGAAAGUAACAAAUAUUAAAGCUAUGAAAACGGCUACAAAUCGAAUUGGUUAUCAAAUUUUAUUUCGGUUUUUUUGUUUUAUUAAUUAAACAACAAAUAGUAAUAGAGAAAAAAAAAACAAGUGGAAAUUCAAAAGAAUUUUAAAUAAAAACCAAGAAAUGAAAUCAUAGAAAUUAAAUAGUAAUAAUUAAAUAUUUAUAAAUAAUAUUAUAAAAAACAAGGGGUCAACACUUUUUAGCAGUACGGUAUUCAUAGACGACGAUAGAAAACGAGAAACUUCUUUGUAAACAACAUCAGCGAGCAUCACCACCGGUAUGGAGUAAUGGCGGCGAGAAGGAGAGCUAAACAAACAACAAACAAACAGCAAUAACAGCAAAUCAAUGAAGAGAGUAUUUUCAAGAGAGUAGAGAUUAACGAAAUGGUAACCAAAGUAAUUUUCAAUUAGGACCAAUUAACAGUCGCCGUUUAAGGAUGAAAAUAAAUUAGCAACUUUCCCCAUAAAAAUUAAUGGAAAUUUCCAUAUUUAUUUUGGAAGUAUUUUUAUUUUCUUAAUUUUUGGGUGAAAAAAUGCCCAAAGUACUGUGAAGGUUGUACUUUAAAUGUUAACAAAAGUAAUUUGUGUUUUGUUUGUGCUAUAUUAUUAUGUUAUCUGAAUGCUAGUUAUCCAAAGACCAAAUGUUAGGUCAGAGAAAUGACGGCAUUUACAUUUUAAGGCCAACUAAAGAUAUCUGUUUGGAUCUGAGGGCAUUUACAUUUUGAAGGCCAACUAAAGAUUUUCAAUACUAAGUUCAUUGAAAAAUAUAACAGUUUUGGAAUGUGGUACCCUGGAUGAGCAUUUAUUAGCCGACUGUCAUUGGCCAUAUAAUCGAAUUCAUUUUUAUUUGCUUUUUUGGGUUUCCUUAAACCCUAUCCCAGCCGAUCUUUUUGAGGUGGUCUCUUUUCACUCAAUGGCUGAUUGGAAAUUCAAUUUGGCAUUUUCGGCUGAAUUGUUAAAACUGGUCUUUACCAAGAUUAUAAUCAAUUGAAUUUUUUAGAUCCCAUAACUAUUUUCGGCACAACAAAUAGAAGCCCUGAUACAUUCGGACAUUUUCAAAAUAAAUUACUUGAUUUUUUAGAAAUCAGAAGCCUUAGAACGUUCGGACCUUUUCAAAAUAAAUUAUUUGAUUUUUUUAGGAAUCAGAGGAGUAAUCUUUAAACCUAAACUAAGAGAUGGAACACCUUUAAAAAUGCCAAAUGGAUUUUUCAGUUAUUACCUCUGACCCAUUAUUUUUUUUGAAAAAUUUGAGUCCGAAAAUAUUUUGGUAAAGAAUUUUAUUAAUUUUUUAUGGCAUAAUCUGGCAGAUGAGGUAUGGAUUUUCGAAAAUAACCAAUAAUAAUUCCGAAUUUUUAAAGCAAAACAGAAAAAAUCUAGGGUCCUCUUAACAAUUCUUGUUUUGCAACUUUUUCAUUUAUCCCUUGGUAUGGAAACAUAGGCCUAUGUUCGUAUUCAAAAUUAUAAACCUAAGACGAGGUUUACAUUUAUGCCCUUUAUUUGCUUUUUAGUGAUAUAUUUGAAAUAAAAAUGUAAUGCCAGGACAGUAAACUUGAUAAAGGGUUGAUGGAUAUUUGAUAAUUUUCCUGUCAGUUAACUUGUUAACCGUCUAUGGUAGAAUUGGCCCUUGGCUAACUUCUUAAUAUUUUCAACACAGUAGUGUGAAAUUUCCCCACUGUUGAACCUUUAGUUAAUCCCCUAACCGUGAGUGGUGAAAAAGUGUCUUUGCUAACUAUUUUGCAACUAUUUUGCAACACUGCCCCUUAAAUGUGAAUAUUCGAUCUCUUUGGGUGUAUGGUGAAAAUUACACCUAACAUCAUUGGCGUUAUUACACUACAAAGUUCGGGUUUUCUAUCUUGAAACUUAUUUAAUUGGCUUGUUAACAUUUAUUCUUUUAAAAAAAUUACUUUGGUUAAACAAAAUUUUCAAAUAUUUUUUUUUGGUUUUUAUAAAAAUUACAAUUAAAUAUUAACUAAAAAAUAUAAAUUAAUAAUAGUUAAACCUUUUUAUAAACGAAGGAUGUUAUGAUUGUUUUUUUUUUAAUUUUCAUUUGAUUUGUUGUUGCUGUUAAAGAUGCUUGUUGUUUCAGUUUCCUGGCUGCAUUUUAUUGUCCAAAGAAAAAGGUUUGCUUUUUUCAAAAAUUGUUUUUUUUUUCAAUUUUUUUUUCUUAUAAAUAUAUUUUUUUUUCUAUUUUAGAUUUGGCUGUCAAGACUGGCAUUUGAUUUGAUCUGACAUUGUUGUUUAUUGUUUGCGGCUCUUCAAACCAAACAGCAGAAA